rnacentral:tRNA from 1 species
GGUUGUGGCUCAGUGGCAGAGCGCUUGCCUAGCAUGCAUGAGGCACCGGGUUCAACUCCUGGCACCA